UCUCCAUAACACUCAUCAGAAAGCUCCUCCACUCGCCGAGCAGCUACUUUCUCCUCGAUGCUGAGCAGGUUUCCACAGAGACCGGCCGAUGGAUCAGCUGCUUCCAUUUCAACAUCACAGAUCGUGGUUGAGGGGGAGGCUGGAGUUCAGAGCCUACGGAGGCCACAGCACCGUGGACCUGCUGACUUCUGAUGCAGCUGCUGCAGCAAUUUGGGAUAAACAGAGUGUGGGCUGAGGAUGGAGCGUCAAAUGUGGCGGAAGAGCGAAGAGGAGCAGCUCGGUGAUCCCGCUGCUCAGUGGCCUGUUACAGAGAUGCAGCUGCUCCAUGUGCUGCAGGGAGGCAGGCAGCAGGCGGCAUCAGAUCUCUGCCUCGCAUGCAAACAACCCUCGUGCUCCUCUACACAGUCACUCCUCAGCCGGGCGGGGGCAGUUUGAGGCCUGAUGUCGAACCUUCAGGUCUCUGACACGCAGGCCCGUAACCACCUCUGGCAGCUCAGCGUGCAGACACAGAUGGGUCCUCGUGCUGUGGCUGAAUCCAACUCAUACCACAUCUAAUGGGGAAAAUCCUCCAAUAGAGCCUCAUACUGUAUCUAUAUUAUGGUAUUCCAAUGUUUACAUUCAACCCCUCCCUUACAUGUUUUACGGUAUAUUCUUAAAUUAGGUAAUUUAUAUUUACAACACUAAACUAUAUCACUGUUUUCGUGAAUCCCACAUGUACAUAUUGUUUUUUUAGAUGUUUCAUGAAGCCCAGUUUAGUUCAUUGUUCACUAAAAAAAACGACAAAUGUAUCUGUGCACGUUUACACACUUAUUCUGAGUUCUGACAUUCAAGCUAAACGUGGACCCGCUCGACAUAAGAUGAAGAACCUAAGACAGACUUUGUCCUUUGGUUGAAAAUCUGUGAAUCGUGUUCAUUUUUCCAUCAACCUGUGAACACAUCACUACAGUGCUUUUCUCUCUCUCUCUCUCUCUCUCUCUCUCUCUCUCUCUCUCUCUCUCACUCUCUCUCUCUCUCUCUAACAUCUGGAAAAAAUUAUACGAGACGUGAAUAAGGUAACAAUCAAGCCUUUUCAUGUUGAUUUUCAUUCUAUGCA